rnacentral:lncRNA from 1 species
UUUGAGGAUGGACCCUUUCUCCCAGGGUCAUCAAGGAGAAGGACACAGCCUAGAAUGAAACUCUAAAGCCUGCCCUCCUUUCUGGGUGCCUACACCCGCAGACUAUCUCUGAUGGAAAGGGUUCCUGGACGGGUCAUAUUUUAAGUUGUUUUCUUCCUUCCAGUGUUGUCUCUCUGGACAAAUCCAGGAGUAAUUUUACACUUCUGAUGUUUUGAGCAUGGUUGUAGCCCUACUGAACCUGCAACUGCAAGCUUCCCUGUGUGUAUUUUUAAAUCUGCACAGAAGCAGAGAUUGCCUAUGGGAAAUAGGCAGUUUGUGUUUGUGUUUUUAAUUUCUACCCUUCUGCAUUGUUUUUACCUUUUCCCAAGACAUGAAUUAUUUCAUCAUGUUUGAAAAGGAAAGAAUGAGGACAGCUCUGAGUAAAGUCAGGGCCUUUGCCAUGUUGGAUAUACCCUUUGCCAGAAAAGCACAGCAGGUUUUUUCUCUUCCAUUCUUAAAAAUAUGCUUCAAUUCUUGCUUCUACUGUUGUAGUCUCCUUUGCUAAAAGAAUAUAAGUGCCAGUCCUGUCCUGAGGGCUUCCUAGUUGCCCAGCGUCCUGCCCGCCCUCCCAUCCCCCAUCCCCACACACUGCAUUUUUCCUCUUUUUCAGAAGCAUGAUGCUAUCAGGCCCAAGAAUUGGCCAGGGAGGAGCUCACUACAGACAGGACCACUCAGAAAGACGGUAAGAUAAGUCCACAUUGUAUACGAUACUUUGAAAAAGCAAAUUGUCAGGAGAGUAGGAGAGAACUGGCUCCUCUUUAUUUUAACACUUUGUCCUUUGAUUUGCAUUCUCUCUGUAAUCCAUUCAGCCUCUAAACACUCCCUGAACACCCACCCUGUGCUUGGCUCUCUGCAGUUCCUGGAUUACCAAGGGAGGGAGCCACACCCUGCACCCAGAGGACCACACAUUCUGUGUGGGAUACAGCUAAGUGGGCAACAAUUUGCUCAGCAUAUCUCUUCCUAAAUUCCAAGACAGGCUGCUUGCUCUGUUCAGUCAAGACUGCCAACCCAAGAAACAUUUUUGAAAGAUCACAGUCAACGUCAUUGCCAAAAGAAGAAGUUCUUGGCACACAAAGGACCUGGUUCAAUAUGAGAUGCCAGAUGGUGAUUUCAACUUCAGCUAAAUUCCUGCUGAAAAAAGUGUUUGAACUGCAGAUGAGAAAAGCUUCUAUGACAAAUUUCCAAGUGUUAGAAGCUUCAGAGGGAAAUGGCAAGUGUUGAUACACGUACCCCCCCCAACACAUGCACACAUAUCAUAGAACUACUACCUGCAUCUGGUAAUUAAGAUUCCCACAAAGAUGCCUCUGCUUUUUAAGAAGACUAAGCUCUAAUUUGAUUUUUACUAAUAUUAAAGUGCAUUAACUGAGUCCAUUGAAAGCAAAUACUGUUUGAUUGCAUGUAGUGUUUCUCAAAGGAUGUAUCCCCUUAGCAUCUGUUGUAAGCUUUUUUAGCAUCUGAGGCAGUUCUCAUUCCUCUCUCCUAAUAACUCUAUUAUUAAGCCAGUUAAUAAUCAGCAGGCACCCCUUCCCUAGUUUUCAUUUUUUUUCUCCCUAACUACUUUCAUAUUACAGGGAAUAUAUAUGAAGUAUAAAUUGAUGGUGUUCUCCUGGGUACUCUUAGGUCCCUGACUCCCUGGUGCAGGAAACUGAAAGCCCAGCUCCCCUGAGUC